rnacentral:rRNA from 1 species
CCCUUAGAUGUUCUGGGCGGCCCGCGCACUACAAUGGCGUGUGCAGCGAGUGCCGAAGUAGAGUUUUCCUAGGUAUUCUUGCAAUGCUCGUUUUGAUGGGGAUAGACCCUUGCAACUGUUGGUUUUGAACGAGGAAUUCCUUGUAAGCAUGGUUUAUCAUCCGACGCUGAAUGCGUCCCUGCCCUUUGUACACACCGCCCGUCGCUCCUACCGAUGAGUCGUCCGGUGAAGUUCGUAGACCUCGUGAUCGCGGAUCACUGGGGGAAGCAAAAUGAACCUCGCGGGUUAGAGGAAGGAGAAGUCGUAACA